GAUUUGCUGCCUUGUGCGUGAUAUUCCGACGCAUGGAACCGACAAGUAUUUUUCGGAGCCCGGAUCAACUUCCGCUUUCGGGAUGCAGGCCUCCCGGCCCGUCCUGCUUUGGUCACGACGGAUACCGGAUGUUGGAAGCACAAAGAAGCGGAGAGGGCACCACCUUGCAUGGCAAGGGUUCUUCUCUUGGUUUACACGGCAAGGCGGUAAUUUU
rnacentral:other from 1 species